CCUACGGGUGGCAGCAGUGAGGAAUAUUGGUCAAUGGGCGCGAGCCUGAACCAGCCAAGUCGCGUGAGGGAGGACGGCCCUACGGGUUUUAAACCUCUUUUGCCGGGGAGCAACGGGCGUCACGUGUGGCGCCACUGAGAGUACCCGGAGAAAAAGCAUCGGCUAACGCCGUGCCAGCAGCCGCGGUAAUACGGGGGAUGCGAGGGUUAUCGGGUUUUAUUGGGUUAAAGGGGUGCUUGGGCGGAUCGUUAAGUCAGUGGUCAAAUUGAGGGGCUCAACCCUUUCCCGCCAUUGAAACUGGCGCUCUUGAGUGGAAGAGAGGUAUGCGGAAUGCGUGGUGUAGCGGUGAAAUGCAUAGAUAUCACGCAGAACCCCGGUUGCGAAGGCAGCAUGCCGGCUUCCAACUGACGCUGAAGCACGAAAGCGUGGGGAUCGAACAGGAUUAGAUACCCCUGUAGUC
rnacentral:rRNA from 1 species